AUCUUCGACGCUGCUUUUACCGUCGGCGGGGCAACUCAGACAGACCUGAUCUGAACCAGACAUGCUUCAGUCCAUAAUGCUGCCAGUGGUGGAGACUGUGCCUUUAAUUCCCCCAUUAGCGGCACCCAGGUUACCCAUGGAAAACUCCAAGCCAUAUUUUUUUAAUCUUACAUGCAUUAGCAUUCGGAUGAAUUUUCUGUUAAAACAGUGAGGACACUUCAGAAACACAGACCUCAUUGCUGCCUUGGGGCAUCCUGAGGUAAUGAAAAUCUGUACAGGAAGGACAAACCUUCUCUUGUCGGCAGCCAUGUUGAAAGUGAGGCCUGCUAUCCCAUCAUGCUCCAAGUGCAGCACCAUAAGAGCCAAAGGAUUUUCUUUAACUGAUAAUUAAAUCAAUUAAGUUCUCUGGUGAUGGAAAACCAGCGGCAAGGUCUAUUUGAGAAGAUGGGCUGAAAUUAAUGCGUUCAAUGCCUCGGAUAUGGUGGUUUCUGUUGCUCCUGACAGAGAACAGGAAAUGGGGUGCAAGAGUGCCAACGCUGCAUGAAUAUAUCCCUGGAGAUGUGAUCACAUGAAGUUCCAUUCUCCAUCCACACUCCCCUCACCAAACCCUCACCAUUAAUCCCUGAGCACAUCUCCUCUUCCUCACACCAAAUAGAAGUUAAAGCAGACAGCAUGGUCCCCCAGCAUGUAGAUUUCAUAACCACGUGGCUUUUGACUCUAUAUCUCAGACAGACAACCUGAUUGACCUGGGCGCAACCCACUAACCCCCACAUCUCGAAUCAACGCUCUCCACCAUGCAACUGCCAGACAAUGGGGUGGCACAGUGGCUCAGUGGUUAGCUCUGCUGCCUCAGCACUAGGGAUCCGGGUUCAAUUCCAGACUCAGACAACUGUCUGUGUGGAGUUUGUACAUUCUCCCUAUGUCUGCAUGGGAAUGGGUUUCCUCCAGGUGCUCUGGUUUCCUCCCAUAAUCCAAAGAUAUGCAGGUUAGAUGGAUUGGCCAUGCUAAAUUGCCAUUGUGUUCAGGGAUGUGUAGGAUUAAUCGGUGGGAGGGUUGGUGUGGACUAGUUGGGAAGAAGGGCCUGUUUCCACCCUAUAGGGAUGCCAUGAUUUGUUUACAUACGUAAGGAUGGAGAACUAAAAAGGAGUGUAAGUGAAGGAGUGGCCCUGAGGAGUGAUCAUUCAGGAGAAAAAGUAAAGAGCUGACGGAAAUGAGAGUGAGAAAGUGGAAAACAAAUGCUUGCAUCUUUUACAGCACCUUCCAUAAUCUCAGAACUGUGGGGACAGAGUCCUUGUGGAUAUUGAAGGACAGACAGAUAGACUCUUGACCAGUCGUGGAAUCAACGGUUACAUAUUGAUGGAAGGAAAGUGGAUGUGAGGAAUGUUGGAUCAGCCUAUUGAAUGGUGGAGCAGGCUUGAUGGGCAGAAUGUCCUACUGUUGUUCUUAUGCUCCUAACUUACGGACAGAUGUAAAUAAAGGAGUGUUACAGGUCAGAAGGUGUUAAAGAGCCAUACUCAGUGACAAAAGGCCUCAGGGACUGAGUAUGCACUGUCAGCCAAGAUAGCCCAAUGGUACCUCAAUGCGUAGGGGGCAGGAUUGGCUUUAAAAUCCAAGGCAACCAAAUGUAUUCGUCAAUCAACAAUAUACACAUAAAACAGCAAUUAUCUAGUUAUUGUUACAUGGGAGCUAGCCAUGCUCAAAAUGGCUGCUACAUUCGCGGCAUUACACUUCAGAAUAUUGAGGGAGGUUUAUAAAAUUAUGAGGGGCAUGGAUAGGGUAAAUAGACAAGGUAUUUUCCCUGGGAUAGGGGAGUCCAGAACUAGAGGGCAUAGGUUUAGGGUGAGAGGAAAAAGAUUUAAAAGGGACCUAAGGGGUAAUCUUUUCACGCAGAGGGUGGUACGUGUAUGGAAUGAGCUGCCAGAGGAAGUGGUGGAGGCUGGUACAAUUACAGCAUUUAAAAGGCAUCUGGAUGGGUAUAUGAAUAGGAAGGGUUUCGAUGGAUAUGGGACUGGUGCUGGCAAACAGGACUGGAUUGGAUUGGGAUAUCUGGUCAGCGUAGGUGAGUGGGACCAAAGGGUCCAUUUCCAUGCUGUACAUCGCUAUGACUCUCUGACUGCACACUCCCAUCCAUCUACUCCUGAGCAUCUUCAGCUCCAUAUUCCAUUGACCUUUGUGUUAACAAUAUUCAGUGACACCUCCACUCCAUCCCUCUGUGGGCAUCUGUGGAUAUCUGGUUGGGAUCUGGUUAGGAUAUCUGGUCAGCGUGGAUGAGUUGGACUGAAGGGUCUGUUUUCGUGCUGCACAUCUCUAUGACCCUCUGUACGAAGUGCCUUGAGACUCUGAUGACUGUGAAAAGUGUUAUAUAAAUGUUCGACUUUCCAAAGCUCUUUGCGGACUUGUUGGUCUGGAGUCGGUACUUGGGUGUUUGAGAUUCAGGAGGCUUGCUGCAAUUACAAGAUGAGGCUGAUCUCCCACUAUUUAUAGCAUUGCCCAUUAACCACACAUACUGGCACCACCUGGCACUGAAGAAAAACUGAGACAGCAGGCAUGCCUCUGACGGCCUGCCAGACCACAAAAGAAGAUUGGACUCCAGCCCAGCUUCACAACAACAGUAAAUAGAAGAAGCAGACACAAGCAACAGAACACCAACCACAGACGGAGCCAUCGUGAUCACAAGGAUGGGCUGGAGAUCAAAGUCAGUAAUGGAUCACAAGCUCACUUCGACAUGGAGGGCGUGGGCAGAAUGGUAUCCAGGUCCCAGGUCAGUGAUGAUCCUCACCACUGCCGCCAUGUUGUAGAAAAAUUAGUUGGACUGCUGCUUACUAUAAACUAGAUGAGCCACCACCAUUUCCCUUUUAGAUUGGAAUCUGCGAGAAUUGCUUUGUCCAGCAGAGGUAAACUCCAAGGAAUCUCUAGUGAAGGAGCUCUUAUUUUAAACACAUUUAUUGCAUGAUAGUAUCUAGACUAAUAUCUUAACAUUAACCCAAAUACUUAUGUGCCUGAGGAAUGUAAUAAUUAGUUGUAAUAAAUGUCUGUUGGACUCUUCAA